UCACGCCUUUUAUCCCUAAAAUUUCCCCUCGUUGAACCCUUAAUUUUUCCCCCCUAAAAUCAUUUUUUUCCCUUCAUCUUAACCCAUUUCAAAUUUCCUUCCUUCAUUGAUUUUUAUGUCUUUUUUUUUUAAAUCUCUAUCUCUCUGCAACAUAUAUCAGUUAAAGCUUCAACCUUUCUACCCAAAUACAAGAUUUUGAUUUUAAAAAAGCGUCAGUCUUCUUUUGUGUAUAAAUCACGAGAUUUGUUUGGUUUCUAAGAAAAUAUUUUAUUCGUGUUUGAUUUAAAGAGUUACCCACUUGAUACACAAUCGUUGAGGCUCUAUAAAGUCUUAAUUCCACCUCUUCGUUUCAUUUUCCCGAGAAAAUGUUGGACUUGACGGAAAAUCCCAAGUUGAAAUCAAGGUUUGACUUUUGAGGGGAUUAUCGUCUACCUUUCUUCUUUUUUUGCUAUUAAUCGUAGUAACUCUUGGGGUGGUAUACUUUGAGGAUUGACAAGGAUUCUUCGAUAUUUCCUUUGGACAGAUCCUUCAAAGGCAGAGAGAGGAGCUGAGGCAACCAACUAAGAGUUAGAUAUCCUGAAUGCAUGCAUGGAUCCGAGUAUUAAACAGCACUUAACAGAAGCAGUUGGUAAAUAAUUGAAUAACUUUGUUUCAGUCUGACGGAAAAUCUCAAGUUGGUUAAAAUAGUGAAAUGCACUGUGAAUGACAUACCGAUGGACAUCUCUUUCAAUCAAACGGCUGGUCUAUCUGCACUUUGCUUUCUGGAGAAGGUUGACCAGCUAAUUGGAAAAGAUCAUCUUUUCAAACGCAGUAUUAUUUUGAUCAAGGCCUGGUGCUAUUACGAGAGCCGGAUCUUUGGUGCACACCAUGGCUUGAUUUCUGCAUAUGCAUUAGAAACAAUGAUUUUAUAUAUCAUUAAUGUCUUUCAUUCAUUCUUAUUUUGUUCUAUUUGUAUUUUAUUAGAUUUCUGGUGUAGUAUGAUAAGUGCGGUAUUUUGUUUGGCGGGAUGUAUUUAUAUCAUAGAUUAUUCUUCUUCUCAAUAUUUUGAUAAUAAAUUUUAAUUUUUU